AGCAGCAUUUUUGCAGCACUUAGUACAAUGGUAAUUCAGUCUGUUACCUGGACUCUCAACUACCUGUCAGAGUCUGCAGGGCUCAUGGCUCAAGUCAGUCCCAGUCCCCCUGCUCCCACGAGCAAGAGGCUCUGCUGACCUUUGGAAGAUCUACCUGGACAUGGUGCCAUUAAAUGCACUGGGACUUUGCUAGCUCACUGUACCUGAUGAAUUUGUUUCAUCACCCUUGGGAGUAACUGCUGAUCUACAAAAGUUCAUAGGUUUUCAUCCUGUACCAGGGCUCUGCUGUACCAAGCAUGACACUCUUCCUCUGGAUCUGCAGGUUUCAAGAGGCUCCCCUACCACAUGUUGGCAGCUCAUGGGGGUAAGUUUCCUUUCUGUUUGUGUAUGUGGAAAGGGAGUGUCUGUAGGAACUCUGCUGGGAUCAAUCCCUGAUAACU